AGUUGCCAGCAGUUCGGCUGGGCACUCUAAAGGGACUGCCGGUGUUAAACCGGAGGAAGGUGGGGAUGACGUCAAGUCCUCAUGGCCUUUAUGACCAGGGCUACACACGUACUACAAUGGCCGAUACAAAGGGCAGCGACACUGCGAGGUGAAGCCAAUCCCGUAAAAUCGGUCUCAGUCCGGAUUGGAGUCUGCAACUCGACUCCAUGAGGUUGGAAUCGCUAGUAAUCGUGGAUCAGCAUGCCACGGUGAAUACGUUCCCGGGCCUU
rnacentral:rRNA from 1 species